UACGAAGGGGGCUAAGUCGUUGGACUCGAAUCGACUGGACGUAAAGCCGCACGUAGGCGGCUUUUUAAGUCAGGGGUGAAAUCCUGGAGCUCAACUCCAGAACUGCCUUUGAUACUGAGAAGCUUGAGUCCGGGAGAGGUGAGUGGAACUGCGAGUGUAGAGGUGAAAUUCGUAGAUAUUCGCAAGAACACCAGUGGCGAAGGCGGCUCACUGGCCCGGUACUGACGCUGAGGUGCGAAAGCGUGGGGAGCAACAGG
rnacentral:rRNA from 1 species